AACGAACGCUGGCGGCGCGUCUUAAGCAUGCAAGUCGAACGGCAAGAGAGGAGCUUGCUUCUCUCCUAGAGUGGCGGACUGGUGAGGAACACGUGGGUAAUCUACCCUUAAGAUGGGGAUAGCUGCUAGAAAUAGCAGGUAAUACCGAAUACACUCGGCAUAUCACAAGAGGUGUUGAGGAAAGGAAGCUACGGCUUCGCUUGAGGAUGAGCUUGCGUCCCAUUAGCUAGUUGGUGAGGUAAAGGCCCACCAAGGCGACGAUGGGUAUCCGGCCUGGGAGGGUGAACGGACACAUUGGGACUGAGAUACGGCCCAAACUCCUACGGGAGGCAGCAGCUAAGAAUAUUCCGCAAUGGACGGAAGUCUGACGGAGCGACGCCGCGUGGAUGAAGAAGGCUGAAAAGUUGUAAAAUCCUUUUGUUGAUGAAGAAUAAGGGUGAGAGGGAAUGCUCAUCUGAUGACGGUAAUCGACGAAUAAGCCCCGGCUAAUUACGUG
rnacentral:rRNA from 1 species